rnacentral:lncRNA from 13 species
GGAAAUGAUCUAACUCUGCUUUUUUUUAUUGUCUUUUGAUAUCUAUAUUUUUGCAUUCAUUUAUUUAUUUUCUCUGAUGUGGGCUGUCUGCUUAUGUACUGCUUUGUAGAGCUGCUUGUUGAGUUAUUCAGUUAUUCAGUUAUCAAGUUCUGGGCAGAAUAUUGACAUCUAGGUUUUAUAAAACUUUCUCCUAGGUCCUGAAGUUGUUCCACAUGGCAGUUUCUGGUGAAAUUCUUCUGGAGAAGACAAGAGGCAGGAAGUUGACUCAGAGAGCUUACCAAGUAGGAAUAAACAAAGGAAAAUCUAAGAAAACAAGAUGGGAGAAGCUGAAAUGCAAGUUCCAAGAGGACAUGGUGUAUCUUAAAGUGUUUAAGCUACAUCUCAUGCUCAAUAAUGAAUAAAUAAAUGAAUGAUUCACAAAUUUUCUAAUGUUCAAUGAUUAUGACUAUCAUUCGUUUUUUAUGAUGACAUCAUGCAACAUACAUACACACAUUUUUAAGAACUUUCAUUUUGUACUUAUCACAUCCAUUUAGGCUCCAUUUCUCCAAAUU